UACGUAGGCAGCAAGCGUUGUCCGGAAUUAUUGGGCGUAAAGAGCUCGUAGGCGGUCUGUCGCGUCGAUCGUGAAAACUUGGGGCUUAACCCUGAGCUUGCGGUCGAUACGGGCAUGACUGGAGUUCGGCAGGGGAGACUGGAAUUCCUGGUGUAGCGGUGAAAUGCGCAGAUAUCAGGAGGAACACCGGUGGCGAAGGCGGGUCUCUGGGCCGAUACUGACGCUGAGGAGCGAAAGCGUGGGGAGCGAACAGG
rnacentral:rRNA from 1 species